rnacentral:lncRNA from 1 species
GAGGAGGUACCCCGUAUAGUCUGGGCGUACCACACCACCGAGCAGUCAGGAACCCAUGAGACCCCAUUCAGCUUGGUCUAUGGGUGUGAUGCAAUGAUUCCAGUAGAGAUCCAGGAGAGCUCGCCGAGAUUCCAGAACUUUGUAGAGGAAGACUCGAAUGAAGAGAGAAGGCUGAACCUGGAUCUACUGGAUGAGGUCAGGGAAGAGGCGAGAUUGAAGGCUGAAGCAGUGAAGAGAAGGGUUAAACGAAGAUACAACUCGAAGGUGAUGCCAAGACAGUUUAGAGAAGGC